rnacentral:rRNA from 1 species
UACGGAGGGUGCGAGCGCUAUCCGGAUUCACUGGGUUUAAAGGGCGCGUAGGUGGGCAUGUAAGUCAGUGGUGAAAUCUCUGAGCUUAACUCAGAAACUGCCAUUGAUACUAUGUUUCUUGAAUUUUCUGGAGGUCAGCGGAAUAUGUCAUGUAGCGGUGAAAUGCUUAGAUAUGACAUAGAACACCAAUUGCGAAGGCAGCUGGCUACAGGGAUAUUGACACUGAGGCACGAAAGCGUGGGGAUCAAACAGG